UUUGUACUCCCUCCGUCCCAAAAUUCUUGUCUUACAUUUGUUUAGAUACAGAUGUAUCUAGUAGAUACAUCUGUAUUUAGACAAAUUUAAGACAAGAAUUUUGGGACAGAGGGAAUACUAC
rfam:Triticum aestivum genome assembly, contig: Triticum_aestivum_CS42_TGACv1_scaffold_406178_5BL